rnacentral:rRNA from 1 species
GACGUAGGGCGCGAGCGUUGUCCGGAUUUAUUGGGCGUAAAGAGCUCGUAGGCGGCUCAUUGCGUCAACCGUGAAAUCCUGCUGCUCAACGGCAGGUCUGCGGUUGAUACGGGUGGGCUGGAGUUCGGUAGGGGAGACUGGAAUUCCUGGUGUAGCAGUGAAAUGCGCAGAUAUCAGGAGGAACACCGGUGGCGAAGGCGGGUCUCUGGGCCGAUACUGACGCUGAGGAGCGAAAGCGUGGGGAGCGAACAGG